AUUGAACGCUGGCGGCAGGCCUAACACAUGCAAGUCGAACGGUAACAGGAAACAGCUUGCUGUUUCGCUGACGAGUGGCGGACGGGUGAGUAAUGUCUGGGAAACUGCCUGAUGGAGGGGGAUAACUACUGGAAACGGUAGCUAAUACCGCAUAACGUCGCAAGACCAAAGAGGGGGACCUUCGGGCCUCUUGCCAUCGGAUGUGCCCAGAUGGGAUUAGCUUGUUGGUGGGGUAACGGCGCACCAAGGCGACGAUCCCUAGCUGGUCUAAGCGGAAGACCAGCCAACCUGGAACUGAUACACGGUCCAGCCUCCUACGUGAGGCAGCAGUGGGGAAUAUUGCACAAUGGGCGCAAGCCUGAUGCAGCCAUUCCGCGUGUAUGAAGAAGGCCUUCGGGUUGUAAAGUACUUUCAGCGGGGAGGAAGGGAGUAAAGUUAAUACCUUUACUCAUUGACGUUACCCGCAGAAGAAGCACCGGCUAACUCCGUGCCAGCAGCCGCGGUAA
rnacentral:rRNA from 1 species